rnacentral:rRNA from 1 species
UAGCAUAUCAAUAAGCGGAGGAAAAGAAACCAACCGGGAUUGCCUUAGUAACGGCGAGUGAAGCGGCAAAAGCUCAAAUUUGAAAUCUGGUACCUUUGGUGCCCGAGUUGUAAUUUGUAGAAGGCAACUUUGGGGCUGGUCCUUGUCUAUGUUCCUUGGAACAGGACGUCAUAGAGGGUGAGAAUCCCGUGUGGCGAGGAAUCCAGUCCUUUGUAAAGUGCUUUCGAAGAGUCGAGUUGUUUGGGAAUGCAGCUCUAAGUGGGUGGUAAAUUCCAUCUAAAGCUAAAUAUUGGCGAGAGACCGAUAGCGAACAAGUACAGUGAUGGAAAGAUGAAAAGAACUUUGAAAAGAGAGUGAAAAAGUACGUGAAAUUGUUGAAAGGGAAGGGCAUUUGAUCAGACAUGGUGUUUUGCGCCCCUUACCUCUCGUGGGUGAGGGAAUCUCGCAGUUCACUGGGCCAACAUCAGUUUUGGUGGCAGGAUAAAUCUAUAGGAACGUAACUUGCUUCGGGAAGUAUUAUAGCCUAUGGGAAUACUGCCAACCGGGACUGAGGACUGCGACUUUUGUCAAGGAUGUUGGCAUAAUGGUUAUAUGCCGCCCGUCUUGAAACACGGACCAAGGAGUCUAACGUCUAUGCAAGUGUUUGGGUGUAAAACCCGUACGCGUAAUGAAAGUGAACGUAGGUUGGGGCCUCGCAAGAGGUGCACAAUCGACCGAUCCUGAUGUUUUCAGAUGGAUUUGAGUAAGAGCAUAGCUGUUGGGACCCGAAAGAUGGUGAACUAUGCCUGAAUAGGGUGAAGCCAGAGGAAACUCUGGUGGAGGCUCGUAGCGGUUCUGACGUGCAAAUCGAUCGUCGAAUUUGGGUAUAGGGGCGAAAGACUAAUCGAACCAUCUAGUAGCUGGUUCCUGCG